UACGUAGGUGGCAAGCGUUGUCCGGAUUCACUGGGCGUAAAGGGCGCGUAGGCGGCCGUGCAAGCGUGGGGUGAAAGUCCGGGGCUCAACCCCGGAUCGGCCUCGCGAACUGCAGGGCUCGAGCACUGUAGAGGCGGGUGGAAUUCCGGGUGUAGCGGUGGAAUGCGUAGAGAUCCGGAAGAACACCGGUGGCGAAGGCGGCCCGCUGGGCAGUGGCUGACGCUGAGGCGCGACAGCGUGGGGAGCAAACAGG
rnacentral:rRNA from 1 species